AGAGUUUGAUCCUGGCUCAGGACGAACGCUGGCGGCGCGCCUAACACAUGCAAGUCGAACGGAGCUGUUUUCUCUGAAGUUUUCGGAUGGAAGAGAGUUCAGCUUAGUGGCGAACGGGUGAGUAACACGUGAGCAACCUGCCUUUCAGUGGGGGACAACAUUUGGAAACGAAUGCUAAUACCGCAUAAGACCACAGUGUCGCAUGGCACAGGGGUCAAAGGAUUUAUCCGCUGAAAGAUGGGCUCGCGUCCGAUUAGCUAGAUGGUGAGGUAACGGCCCACCAUGGCGACGAUCGGUAGCCGGACUGAGAGGUUGAACGGCCACAUUGGGACUGAGACACGGCCCAGACUCCUACGGGAGGCAGCAGUGGGGAAUAUUGCACAAUGGGGGAAACCCUGAUGCAGCGACGCCGCGUGGAGGAAGAAGGUCUUCGGAUUGUAAACUCCUGUCCCAGGGGACGAUAAUGACGGUACCCUGGGAGGAAGCACCGGCUAACUACGUGCCAGCAGCCGCGGUAAAACGUAGGGUGCAAGCGUUGUCCGGAAUUACUGGGUGUAAAGGGAGCGCAGGCGGAUUGGCAAGUUGGGAGUGAAAUCUAUGGGCUCAACCCAUAAAUUGCUUUCAAAACUGUCAGUCUUGAGUGGUGUAGAGGUAGGCGGAAUUCCCGGUGUAGCGGUGGAAUGCGUAGAUAUCGGGAGGAACACCAGUGGCGAAGGCGGCCUACUGGGCACCAACUGACGCUGAGGCUCGAAAGUGUGGGUAGCAAACAGGAUUAGAUACCCUGGUAGUCCACACCGUAAACGAUGAUUACUAGGUGUUGGAGGAUUGACCCCUUCAGUGCCGCAGUUAACACAAUAAGUAAUCCACCUGGGGAGUACGACCGCAAGGUUGAAACUCAAAGGAAUUGACGGGGGCCCGCACAAGCAGUGGAGUAUGUGGUUUAAUUCGAAGCAACGC
rnacentral:rRNA from 1 species